GAUGAACGCUGGCGGCGUGCCUAAUACAUGCAAGUCGAGCGAACGGACGAGAAGCUUGCUUCUCUGAUGUUAGCGGCGGACGGGUGAGUAACACGUGGAUAACCUACCUAUAAGACUGGGAUAACUUCGGGAAACCGGAGCUAAUACCGGAUAAUAUUUUGAACCGCAUGGUUCAAAAGUGAAAGACGGUCUUGCCGUCACUUAUAGAUGGAUCCGCGCUGCAUUAGCUAGUUGGUAAGGUAACGGCUUACCAAGGCAACGAUGCAUAGCAGACCUGAGAGGGUGAUCGGCCACACUGGAACUGAGACACGGUCCAGACUCCUACGGGAGGCAGCAGUAGGGAAUCUUCCGCAAUGGGCGAAAGCCUGACGGAGCAACGCCGCGUGAGUGAUGAAGGUCUUCGGAUCGUAAAACUCUGUUAUUAGGGAAGAACAUAUGUGUAAGUAACUGUGCACAUCUUGACGGUACCUAAUCAGAAAGCCACGGCUAACUACGUG
rnacentral:rRNA from 1 species